rnacentral:rRNA from 1 species
GAUGAACGCUGGCGGCGUGCCUAAUACAUGCAAGUCGAGCGAACGGACGAGAAGCUUGCUCUUCUGAUGUUAGCGGCGGACGGGUGAGUAACACGUGGAUAACCUACCUAUAAGACUGGGAUAACUUCGGGAAACCGGAGCUAAUACCGGAUAAUAUUUUGAACCGCAUGGUUCAAAAGUGAAAGACGGUCUUGCUGUCACUUAUAGAUGGAUCCGCGCUGCAUUAGCUAGUUGGUAAGGUAACGGCUUACCAAGGCAACGAUGCAUAGCCGACCUGAGAGGGUGAUCGGCCACACUGGAACUGAGACACGGUCCAGACUCCUACGGGAGGCAGCAGUAGGGAAUCUUCCGCAAAGGGCGAAAGCCUGACGGAGCAACGCCGCGUGAGUGAUGAAGGUCUUCGGAUCGUAAAACUCUGUUAUUAGGGAAGAACAUAUGUGUAAGUAACUGUGCACAUCUUGACGGUACCUAAUCAGAAAGCCACGGCUAACUACGUG